rnacentral:rRNA from 1 species
GACGUAGGGCGCGAGCGUUGUCCGGAUUUAUUGGGCGUAAAGAGCUCGUAGGCGGCUUGUCGCGUCGAAUGUGAAAACUCGGGGCUCAACCCCGCGCUUGCAUUCGAUACGGGCAGGCUCGAGUUCGGUAGGGGAGAACUGGAAUUCCUGGUGUAGCGGUGAAAUGCGCAGAUAUCAGGAGGAACACCGGUGGCGAAGGCGGGUCUCUGGGCCGUUACUGACGCUGAGGAGCGAAAGCGUGGGGAGCGAACAGG